rnacentral:rRNA from 1 species
CAGCCGCCACGGGAAUACGAAGGGGGCUAGCGUUGUUCGGAUUUACUGGGCGUAAAGCGCACGUAGGCGGAUCGAUCAGUCAGGGGUGAAAUCCUGGAGCUCAACUCCAGAACUGCAUUUGAUACUGUCGAUCUCGAGUCCGGAAGAGGUGAGUGGAACUCCUAGUGUAGAGGUGGAAUUCGUAGAUAUUAGGAAGAACACCAGUGGCGAAGGCGGCUCACUGGUCCGGUACUGACGCUGAGGUGCGAAAGCGUGGGGAGCAAACAGGAUUAGAUACCCCGGUAGUCCCUGUCUCUUAUAA